UCAGUAAAGGAGCAUAGCAAUGCACACGCGGACGUCAAGCUACAGAAUUUUAGAACCGUGAGAAAGGAGCUAUUCAGAAUUCAGUUCUUAGAAAAAUACUCGAUUACGAAGUAUGGCUUCUAAGCCAUUUGCAGCUUCACUACCCCAGCGACAUUCAUUGGAUCCUGAUGAUGAGUGUCCAAAACUUUCAUGGGCUCAUAGGAACCACCGUGAGAUCGGCCUUUCGACCCAGAGCUGACGAAGAAACGAUGUUAAGGUCACAAAGAUCGUGUUUUCGACGUCAAUGCUCUCGUCCCGUAUUCCUCGCGAAGGACCAACAUUUAUGAAAAGAUGCCGAAAAAGAAAGGGAAACUGCGAAUACUCUGCUUGAAGCAGAACGAGAUGGUGUUGAUUUCCUGAAGCGAAAUCCAAUGAGCAAUUCUAGGUGAUCCUAAAAGUGGCAUGCCCGAGGAAACAGUACAAUACAAAGGUGCUCCAAUCACUGAGUUCUUCAUUGUGUACGGCGAAACGAUUCGAAGUAAACAAGCGUUUAUCCCACAGAAGCCACGCCGACAUGAACUUAAAGAAUUACACUGUGGUCGUUCUGAAGGUUCCUGGAUAGUUUUUUGCCAAGGAACACGUUUGGUGGUCGCACGUGGAAGAAAUUCAGGAAAUCACGUCUGUUUGCACCUCUCACGUUCAGUGUACGGCAAACCUCUUCGGACAGAAAUAUUAUCCUGAUCCUUCUCGGAGAAGGAUUUAUAUAGUAGUGUCUUUUGAAGAAAAGAUGCUGUUGAUCGCCGUCACGCGUCCAUGAAGUGGAUAGGGUUUUCUUAACCAAUGCAGCUACCUUUGAUAUGAUAGCUACUCUUGGGACCUGGCCGCAUCGGUCACUUACAAGCCUUCAUUUUAGACAAAUUCAACAACGCAGUUGUCGUCGAGUUUUUGGAGAAAUCAAGAAUCCGGCACGAAGCACCCCGUGGGGGAUGGAGAAGCGAGGCGGGCUGUCCAUACGAUCUAACAACACCCAUUAACUACUACUAACGGUAUUGGUGGCAACAUAUAACGCCACCAACAUAUGCGAGCUGCUAAUAAAGGCUGUUACAAGCGUUUGAGCAAAAAGUGUUACUUAGAAAUUGUCUCUCGUAAAAAAAUGCCGCUCAUUCGGAUGGAUUCGUAAAUUCCCUAAAGCUUGAGCAAAUAGCGGUAGCUAAAAGCUAGAGCGGAAUAGACAGUAAUUGUACAAAUUUACCGCCCAACAGCGAAUGGGAUACUGCAAGGAUUCAUCAUGUCCAAGAACUAGGAAACAUCACGAGUGCGAUUGGGGCCAUAAAGCUAUGAAAUCGCAUACUGACACAAUUUGUCCACCCGGACCGAAUGCAUAAUCACCUCAUCGGUCUUUCACCGCACCGGAUACGUUUGCAGAAGGGCUAUGAAUCAUCAUAUGCAAAUGCAACGAUCCUGGCUGCGGCAGCAAGAUUGAAGCAUUAUAGUUAUUGGGAGAAUUAACACGUGUCAGAAUAGCCGAAAUUAAAAGACAAGCCAUGGUAUCACCACAUAGUUCAGCUAUGUGUUACAGAGAUGGCGCUUGUUAAGGAAAGAUUUCUGUUUAGACGCAUUUAUUCGUUGCAUCAGUCCAGCAUUUACCUUUACUUUACUAACAGCCCCAACCCCUCAACGACGCUGCCCGCAAGCUGAACAUGUUCCUUACAACAUCGUUGUGUGGAACGCAUGACUAGUUGUUUAGCUUUCAAAAUGACACCUCAUUGGCGUAUGCGGGUUCUGUACUCGAUGCUAGUCUCACCAUGGUCGCUUCUACUGGAGGUAUGACUACGGUAGUUGUGGCUAUGGCAGCAGUGGAAACAGCCGGCGCCUGAAGCGAACUUAUGACCCUCGUAAAGUAAAGGACGAGAUGCAGCAAGCAAGAAAGAAAGAAAGAAAAGUUGAAGGAGGACGACGGGCUAAGGGCUUAGUGAAGCUGCGACCGCGCCUGCGGGAAAGACUAUGAUGGUUACUGUUACGGGUCCGGCUAUCUGUGAAUACAGGUAAGAGUGCAGCAGUUCUACUUCUGUAGCUCCCUAAUCCCUUCAGCGUCAUAUCCCGUUGACCCAUUCUUCCCAAUACCAGGCUAAUUUCUCCGUACCCCCCUGCUUGGUGAGCCUCGCAUGGACAGCAAGAGGCUGCUGCUUCUAUGGAAGCUGCAGUUGGUGGUUUGAACUAUGAUCCGACCCUCGAUUACGGCAAUGGUAAUAUUCUCCCUAGCUUUACCCCUGCACGACUGCUCGUUGGCUUGCCAACAGCUUUAUCGGUCCAUCUUGUCCUAUUCUCCUAAAACGACGACAAACCUUGUCGUACCGUUUGGUGACAUGUUGUUCUGUAGGGGAGUUGUUAAAAAAAGAGGGGUGGACACGAGAGCAAACCCCCUGCAACCUUGGACUACUUCAUGCCUGUCCACAGUUCGAGAUAUUUUGCCACAUCUC